GAUGAACGCUGGCGGCGUGCCUAAUACAUGCAAGUCGAGCGAAUGGAUUAAGAGCUUGCUCUUAUGAAGUUAGCGGUGGACGGGUGAGUAACACGUGGGUAACCUGCCCAUAAGACUGGGAUAACUCCGGGAAACCGGGGCUAAUACCGGAUAACAUUUUGAACCGCAUGGUUCGAAAUUGAAAGGCGGCUUCGGCUGUCACUUAUGGAUGGCCCCGCGUCGCAUUAGCUAGUUGGUGAGGUAACGGCUCACCAAGGCAACGAUGCGUAGCCGACCUGAGAGGGUGAUCGGCCACACUGGGACUGAGACACGGCCCAGACUCCUACGGGAGGCAGCAGUAGGGAAUCUUCCGCAAUGGACGAAAGUCUGACGGAGCAACGCCGCGUGAGUGAUGAAGGCUUUCGGGUCGUAAAACUCUGUUGUUAGGGAAGAACAGGUGCUAGUUGAAUAAGCUGGCACCUUGACGGUACCUAACCAGAAAGCCACGGCUAACUACGUGCCAGCCGCCGCAGUAA
rnacentral:rRNA from 1 species